rnacentral:rRNA from 1 species
ACGAACGCUGGCGGCGUGCCUAAUACAUGCAAGUUGAGCGCUGAAGGUUGGUACUUGUACCAACUGGAUGAGCAGCGAACGGGUGAGUAACGCGUGGGGAAUCUGCCUUUGAGCGGGGGACAACAUUUGGAAACGAAUGCCAAUACCGCAUAAAAACUUUAAACACAAGUUUUAAGUUUGAAAGAUGCAAUUGCAUCACUCAAAGAUGAUCCCGCGUUGUAUUAGCUAGUUGGUGAGGUAAAGGCUCACCAAGGCGAUGAUACAUAGCCGACCUGAGAGGGUGAUCGGCCACAUUGGGACUGAGACACGGCCCAAACUCCUACGGGAGGCAGCAGCAGGGAAUCUUCGGCAAUGGACGAAAGUCUGACCGAGCAACGCCGCGUGAGUGAAGAAGGUUUUCGGAUCGUAAAACUCUGUUGGUAGAGAAGAACGUGGGUGAGAGUGGAAAGCUCAUCAAGUGACGGUAACUACCCAGAAAGGGACGGCUAACUACGU